GAUGAAGAACGUAGCGAAAUGCGAUAAGUAAUGUGAAUUGCAGAAUUCAGUGAAUCAUCGAAUCUUUGAACGCACAUUGCGCCCCCUGGUAUUCCGGGGGGCAUGCCUGUUCGAGCGUCAUUACAACCCUCAAGCUCUGCUUGGUAUUGGGCCCCGCCAGUUCUGGCGGGCCCUAAAGUCAGUGGCGGUGCCUUCCGGCUCCGAGCGUAGUAAUUCUUCUCGCUCUGGAGACCCGGUUGUGUGCUUGCCAACAACCCCCAAUUUUUUACGGUUGACCUCGGAUCAGGUAGGGAUACCCGCUGAACUUAAGCAUAUCAAUAAGCGGAGGA
rnacentral:misc_RNA from 1 species